UUUCGCAAUGCCCGAAAGGGUGACUAUGCGACGCCGCGUGUGCGAUGAAGGUCUUCGGAUCGUAAAGCACUGUCAGCCGGAAGGAAUCUCUGGAGGCUUAAUAAGCUUGCAGGGUGACAGUACCGGCAGAGGAAGCCACGGCUAACUCCGUGCCAGCAGCCGCGGUAAUACGGAGGUGGCAGGCGUUACUCGGAUUGAUUGGGUGUAAAGGGUGUGUAGGUGGCGAGUUAAGUCGAAUGUGAAAGCCCAUGGCUCAACCAUGGAACUGCGCUCGAAACUGUCUGUCUUGAGUGGAGUAGGGGAGAGUGGAACUCCAGGUGGAGCGGUGAAAUGCGUAGAUACCAAGAGGAACGCCGGUGGCGAAAGCGACUCUCUGGCCUGCCUCUGACGCUGAGGUGCGAAAGCUAGGGGAGCAAACAGGAUUAGAUACCCUGGUAGUCCUAGCCGUAAACGAUGGGCACUAAGUAGAGGGGUUUU
rnacentral:rRNA from 1 species